rnacentral:tRNA from 1 species
GCUCUUAUCGUCUAGUCCGGUCCAGGACGCGGCCCUCUCAAGGCCGAAACUCGGGUUCAAAUCCCGAUGGGAGCG